rnacentral:rRNA from 1 species
UACGUAGGUGGCGAGCGUUGUCCGGAUUUACUGGGCGUAAAGAGCGCGCAGGCGGUCGUAUAAGUCGCGUGUGAAAGCCCCCGGCUCAACUGGGGAGGGUCACGCGAUACUGUUCGACUUGAAGGCAGGAGAGGGAAGCGGAAUUCCCGGUGUAGUGGUGAAAUGCGUAGAUAUCGUAAGGAAGACCAGUGGCGAAGGCGGGUCUCUGGACAGUUCCUGACGCUGAGGCACGAAGGUCAGGGGAGCAAACGGG